rnacentral:rRNA from 1 species
CUACGGGGGGCAGCAGUGGGGAAUAUUGCACAAUGGGCGAAAGCCUGAUGCAGCAACGCCGCGUGGAGGAUGACACAUUUCGGUGCGUAAACUCCUUUUAUAUAAGAAGAUAAUGACGGUAUUAUAUGAAUAAGCACCGGCUAACUCCGUGCCAGCAGCCGCGGUAAUACGGGGGGUGCAAGCGUUACUCGGAAUCACUGGGCGUAAAGAGCAUGUAGGCUGGAUGACAAGUUGGAAGUGAAAUCCUAUGGCUUAACCAUAGAACUGCUUCCAAAACUGUCUUCCUAGAGUAUGGGAGAGGUAGAUGGAAUUUCUGGUGUAGGGGUAAAAUCCGUAGAGAUCAGAAGGAAUACCGAUUGCGAAGGCGAUCUACUGGAACAUUACUGACGCUCAGAUGCGAAAGCGUGGGGAGCAAACAGGAUUAGAUACCCUGGUAGUC